ACAGGCUUGCAUCUCUUUUAAAAUCACGAGAAUUAUUCAGGAUAUAACAUCUAUCUUACAAAAACAAAUGUUUUUUUAUCAAAUAUGACGGUUUUGAAUUGGCCUUUGUAAGCCACCAACGGUUCCAAUUGCUCUCGAAAGGGUAGAGAUAAAUCUCGGCUGAAAAGGCUUCCCCCUUCUCCGCCCUAAUCCAACGUCGGUGAUUUGCUGCACUUAUUAUUUUUCAGUUACCAAAAACAAGGGUUCCUCUUCAACCUGUUCUUCUCAAUCGUCGUACGUUACGCGCAACGGGAUCCGUAUUAAACAUCACCAUUAUUUCUCCGUAAUCCUAGGCAUGAGUUGUGAUGGCACCAGCCACUAUUCGAUGAUUGGUUAACUGAAUGUCACAGCCGUUUCAUUUUCUUGGGAAUCAAUGAAAUUAAAUCUCCAAUUUGUUCUUCGUCGUUGCUUAGCAAUUUCUCGAUACUACAUAAACCUCAAAUAGUUUUGUCUUCCAAACUUUGUGAACUGUAUCAAUGCUUAUGCAACAUCGACAUUUGCAGCAGACUUAGCAGAGGUUAAUGCCAUCAAGAAGGUCUGUAAGAAUGCAUCUGGGAUCAAGUCGAUGAUUAGACGUUGGCUCGGGACAGCUGGUGGAUUAGAAGCCAUAGCUACAAUCAAAGGAAGCAAAGACUAGCAGUGAUGAUAGAAGUCGCAAAGAUAGCAAAGUUUGGAUCUGUAAUGGCUAUGCCAGGUUCAGAUCUUGUUUGCCAGGUCUCCGAGGUUCCAUCAUACAUUUGAGGUACUUCAAGGUUGUAGGACGUUAGUUUUAAAAGGUUCUUUUCUAGGAUUUGGUUGGUUAGAUGGUGUAAUUCAGUUGUCAAGUAAUCCGUUUUCCCCUGA